rnacentral:rRNA from 1 species
AGCAGCCGCGGUAAUUCCAGCUCCAAUAGCGUAUAUUAAAGUUGUUGCAGUUAAAAAGCUCGUAGUUGAAUUUCGAGAUCAAAUUGUCGGUCGUGCCUCGGUACGUACUGGCAUUAUUGAUUUCUCCCUUCUGAAGAACCACGAUGUCAUUAAUUUGGUGUCGUGGGGAAUCAGGACUGUUACUUUGAAAAAUUGAGUGUUUAAAGCAGGCUCACGCUUGAAUACAUUAGCAUGGAAUAAUGAAAUAGGACGUUUGAUUCUAUUUUGUUGGUUUCUAGGAUCGACGUAAUGAUUAAUAGGGAUAGUUGGGGGCAUUAGUAUUCAAUUGUCAGAGGUGAAAUUCUUGGACUUAUUGAAGACUAACUACUGCGAAAGCAUUUGCCAAGGAUGUUUUCAUUAAUCAAGAACGAAAGUUAGGGGAUCGAAGACGAUCAGAUACCGUCGUAGUCU